rnacentral:lncRNA from 1 species
CCCCAAACCUUUAUUAAAUGCACGGCACUGAGUGGGGACUUUUGAUCAAUGUUGAUGAGAUAUUGGAAAAUUCAGCCCUCGUGUUUCAUCAGCUGCAGCAAAAUACUUCAGCGCAGAUGAACGGAGCCCAGAUGGCAACUUUGGCUGCAGAGCAUUUCUGCCCCAACCAUAUGCUGCUCAGAAGGGGAAGGGAUGCAGGGUUUGAUUUGAAGCUUUGGGACUUGCAGGUGCCACAUGGAGCACUGUGGUGACACGGUGGGGACGUGGCACUGCUGUCCUACAGUGGGAAAAGGGCAUGGCAGGGAGCCAGGGAUGCACACACUGGGGCUUUGUGGGGCCACUGGUUGAGGCAGUGAUGUAAUUGGGCCAACAAACACACUGUUAGUGAGAGGACUUUUUGGUACUGUGGGUCGAGUUCUUCCUGCAGAAACAGGAGGAUUUUCUUUUUGAGAACGUGAGAGCUGAGCAAACACCUCCAGCAGAAGCCUGUGUAAGUUUGAAUCGUGUCUCAUCCCUGAGAUGCUGCUGUUUGCAUGCAGAAAUUGGCCUUCUUUCUUCCUUUCACAGCCUCAUGAGACAUUCUGUGGAAGGUGCCAAGCACUGGACGAGUAACAUUUCCCCACUCUGCAUCAGUUUAAUCAACACCUGCUUGGCCAAGCAGCAGUGAGUGUGAGAAGAGGUCGAGUUGGGCUCCCGGACACAUGGGGAACUGCUGAGACUCAGACUGCACACAGCAGCACAACAGUGACAAAGCUGCCUUGGUUCUGCAACCAGGAGCACUAUCACAAUCCCAGCUCAGAGAUGAGAUGGGAGGAUCAGAGCAGGGCUUUGGAGAGUCCUACGCAGAGAUCAUCAUCCAAGGACAUGUUAUCGAAGGUAACAGAUGUUCAGAAAUAUCUCCUUUCUAUCUCUAUGAUUUAACUGCUGCUCCAAGUGAGUUUUCCAUGUUUAUUUCCUUGGGGAACAGCAGCCCAGUGUCAGCCUGCAUGGGGAUGCAGCUCUUUGACCUCCCUUCACACUAUGUGGCUUCUCCCCUUCCCACACCUGUGGCAUCUCUGGGCAAUGAGCACAGGGCUGGAUCCAUCCCACCUACCUGCUCCCUCUAUCUCCCAUUUCUGCAAGGCUCUGGUGGAGGCAUAUCCCCUGCACACCCAGUUCUGGGUAUCUUUUCUGUAGCUCUUGUUUUUCCUAGAUGUACACACGUUUGUCC